UACGUAGGGACCGAGCGUUGUCCGGAAUCAUUGGGCGUAAAGAGCGUGUAGGCGGCUAUUUAAGUCCUGCGUGAAAUCCUGCGGCUCAACCGCAGACGGUCGUGGGAAACUGGAUGGCUAGAGUGCGGGAGAGGAGAGUGGAAUUCCAAGUGUAGCGGUGAAAUGCGUAGAGAUUUGGAGGAACACCAGUGGCGAAGGCGACUUUCUGGUCUGUAACUGACACUGAGGCGCGAAAGCGUGGGGAGCGAACAGG
rnacentral:rRNA from 1 species